GGCGCACGGGUGCGUAACGCGUAUGCAACCUACCCACUACAGGGGCAUAACCCGCCGAAAGGCGGAAUAAUUCCCCAUAAUACAGGGAGCCCGCAUGGGCAUAUUGUUAAAGAUUUAUCGGUAGUGGAUGGGCAUGCGUACGAUUAGCUAGUUGGUAGGGUAACGGCCUACCAAGGCAACGAUCGUUAGGGGGCCUGAGAGGGUAGCCCCCCACACUGGUACUGAGACACGGACCAGACUCCUACGGGAGGCAGCAGUAGGGAAUAUUGGACAAUGGGCGCAAGCCUGAUCCAGCCAUGCCGCGUGCAGGAAGAAGGCCUUCUGGGUUGUAAACUGCUUUUGUCAGGGAAUAAAAAGCGCCUGAGGGCGAACUUGAAGGUACCUGAAGAAUAAGCCACGGCUAACUACGUGCCAGCAGCCGCGGUAAUACGUAGGUGGCGAGCGUUAUCCGGAUUUAUUGGGUUUAAAGGGUGCGUAGGUGGUUAUGUAAGUCAGCGGUUAAAUCAGGCAGCUUAACUGUCAUAAUGCCGCUGAUACUGCGUAGCUAGAGUGCAGAUGAGGUAGGCGGAAUGGAUGGUGUAGCGGUGAAAUGCUUAGAUAUCAUCCAGAACACCGAUUGCGAAUGCAGCUUACUGGGCUGUUACUGACACUGAGGCACGAAAGUAUGGGGAUCAAACAGGAUUAGAUACCCUGGUAGUCCAUACAGUAAACGAUGUGCACUUGCUGUUGGCGAUACACUGCCGGCGGCUUAGCGAAAGCGUAAGUGUACCACCUG
rnacentral:rRNA from 1 species